rnacentral:rRNA from 1 species
AUUGAACGCUGGCGGCAGGCCUAACACAUGCAAGUCGAGCGAGCGGCGGACGGGUGAGUAAUGUCUGGGAAACUGCCUGAUGGAGGGGGAUAACUACUGGAAACGGUAGCUAAUACCGCAUACCAUCAGAUGUGCCCAGAUGGGAUUAGCUAGUAGGUGGGGUAAUGGCUCCCCUAGGCGACGGUCCCUAGAUGGUCUGAGAGGAUGACCAGCCACACUGGAACUGAUACAAGGGCCAGACGCCUACGGUAGGCAGCAGGGGGGAAUAUUGCACAAUGGGCGCAAUCCUGAUGCAGCCAUGCCGCGUGUGUUAAGAAGGCCUUCGGGUUGGAAAGCACUUUCAGCGGGGAGGCGUUACCCGCAGAAGAAGAACCGGCUAACUCCGUGCCAGCCGCCGCGGUAAUUC